AUGCACAUGCAUUUGAUUUUCUUAAAACAGGGUGCGACUGGACCAGCAGGGCCCCCAGGUCCAAGAGGCUUGCCAGGAAAUGUGGGAGUGCAUGGAGACCCUGGACUACCAGGAAAGGAGGGAGAAAAAGGGGAAAAGGGUGACCCAGGAAAAGAUGGAAAAGUGGGAUUACCAGGGCCUGCUGGUGAGCCAGGGCCUGCUGGAGAGCCAGGUUUGCCUGGCAAGGGUAAAGAUGGAGAACGGGUAAGUAUAGCUAGCGAGCUCUGGGCUCAAGUAGUUCAGUAUGGGCUAGACAAACACAGCUUCUGCAGUGAAAUGGUGGACUUCGGUAAAGAAUUAGGUUAA
rnacentral:lncRNA from 1 species